rnacentral:sRNA from 1 species
CAAUACUCCGAUGUUGUAACGGCAUCCUUUUGUUUCGCUUCGCUACACAAAAGAUAUAGUGAAAAGGAGGAAAUUGC